rnacentral:rRNA from 1 species
UACGUAGGGGUCGAGCGUUGUCCGGAGUUACUGGGCGUAAAGCGCAUGCAGGCGGCUCAUUACGCAUGGCGUGAAAGCCCCGGCUCAACCGGGGAGGGUCGUCGUGAACGGGUGAGCUUGAGGGUAUCAGGGGCUGGUGGAAUUCCUAGUGUAGCGGUGAAAUGCGUAGAGAUUAGGAAGAACACCAGUGGCGAAGGCGAUUCUCUGGACUGUAACUGACGCUGAGGCUACGAAAGCGUGGGGAGCAAACAGGAUUAGAUACCCCUGUA